ACUCGGGCUCGCCUCGCCUCCCCCUCGUCUCAUUUUAGUGGGGAUUGGAAAAUUUGAGUGAUCGAUCGAUAAACUAUUAUUCAUAAAAGUAUUGGAGUGGUGUGAUAUAAUUAUGUUAAAUUUAAAGUGAACAAUAGUUUAACAGUAUUGGUGAUGUUUACCUUAGGCUUAAUGUUAUUUCGCAAAAAAACUGUUAAAGACCUCACGUUUACAGUAGUUAUUCGUCAAAAAUCCAGAAAGCUUCAAACGUGUUUGAAGCUUUCUGUUUCGGAUUAAUGGAACUAUGAACCUGGACCCUUUAACGUUUAGCUUAUCACAAAUCAAUUAUCUCGUUGCUAAUCUAAACAAAAAGAACUUUAAGCAGGUCAAUCAGGAGUUGACUCAGAUUAUCAGUCUCUAUGGCUUGGAGGCAGAGAAUCAAGUAUUGAGGAGCCUGCUUACUGAGGCAGUAAAGACUUCGUGGGAUAACGAUCGUCCUGGGCCUGUUAAUAGUAUACACGCAACCCUCUUAACGCAAUACCUGUCCUGUCUACUCAACCAUCCGGCUAAGUCUACUGUUGUCUGCAGUAUUAUAGACAACCCAUCCAAGUCUGUGCAAAAGGCCUUAAAACCCACCAACACAUUACUUAGUCGAAUUGCAAGAUUGCUGAAGUUCACUACAGCACAGGAUGUUGCCUUCUCGUUAGUUCUGAGAAAAACCUCGCCAAAGCCUGAAAUAACAUCCUUUGCUAAACAACAUCUCAAGAAGCGUUUUUUGGACUUUGUACAGUGUUACCUUGAUGCAGAACGUGGGCAUCAAGUGGAGCGUGCAGGUCUGCAGGAGUGCAGUCCUGAGGUAUUACAAACUCUAUUAACGAGUCUCGCGUUCGAGAACUUUCGGUUAGCGGCCGUUACCAAGGAUUUGUUUCUAAAAAAAUUGCGAGUAGACUUUCCGCGCGAAGUAGUGCCCAUUGUGCUCGCUCCGCUCUUGUAUCCUGACGAUACAAGCACACCACUCGAGGAAAUGACGACGUCCGAUGACAUGGCGGCUGCCAUGAUGGACAAUUCUCUCGGAGAAAUCAUCCGAGAGAUUGGAUACUCCUUUACAACAUCUGUAGAGGACUGCAAAAAUAACAUGAUAAACUUUGGGGCGCGAGAGCCGACAGCCAUCGAUAUCGCUCGAAUAAUAUCGAUGAUGGUGAGGUUUCAUGCCACUCUGCAAGAGGGUCCUCUGAUUCAAACACCAGGGAAUUUUUGGAUGAAUCACGAAACUAAGAAAGAGCCUGUUCCACAUGGCCAUCCAGAGACAUGGAAUGCUGAGGUGUUUGUGCAAACAUUAAAAGAACUGGCCUCUAAUCUUAAUUGGAAGGAAGUUAUUCUUCAGCUUGAUCACCCAGAGUUUGUAGUACCGGACAGACAAGGGCUAAGCUUGCUCUUCACGAUUUUGCGCUUGGGUCUCCAGAGCGCCGGCUACCCUGCCAAUAUAUUCCCAGUAGAAUAUCUGUGCCGACGAUGGACAAACUUAGAAGGCCAAAUGAGUCUACUAACAAACAUACUCAAAUAUCCAGAUAUAUUCAGUUUUGCUGACCAUCCAUUUCAUCCAGUGUCGAUUGACCUUUUGAAAUCUGCUCCUGAAAUAGAUAACAAAGAAAUAUCCACAUGGAGAUGCCUCUAUUUGGUAGAACUUUUACUGUAUGCGUCAGAGAGAGGAUAUUACAUGCAAGUCCAUGAACUCUUCAAGUUCCCAUUACAAAACUGCCCAGACAUAUUGUUAUUGGCAUUACUGCAAAUCAGUCCACCCAUUACAGUAUUUAGACAAGAGUUGCUGACAACACUAAUUCCCAUAUUUCUUGGCAAUCAUCCCAACUCUGGAAUAAUUUUACAGCAUGCUUGGCAUACGCAAAAUCCCAACAUCAAACCUAUUAUAAUGCAUGCGAUGGCAGAUUGGUACAUACGCGGGGAUUGUGAUCAAUCCAAGUUGUCCAGAAUUUUAGACGUCGCGCAGGAUUUAAAGGCGCUGUCGUUAUUGCUAAAUGUUCAAUCGUUCCCAUUCGUAAUAGAUUUGGCCUGUCUAGCAUCAAGGCGAGAGUAUCUCAAACUCGACAAAUGGCUCACUGACAAAAUCAGAGACCAUGGAGAAACCUUUGUUUCGGCUAUGGUGAAGUUUCUGCAACGCCGAUGUCCUCCAAUGCUUGGAAAAGCUCCAGAGGAGCAGCUGCCCAAGGCUGCGCAGUUGCCACCAGAAACUAUCGGAACCAUGUUAACCUGCUUACAACUCUGCAUACCCAAUGUGUUACAAGAGUUACAAGAGGCAAUAUAUAAUGUAAUAGCAAGUUGCCAAACAUUGAUAAUGACCAAGACGAGACCAACUAUUGCUGGAAUUGCGCGUCCGCAUACAAGAGUGUUGGAGACUCCUUUCAAUCCUGCACUGGGAGUAGGGGGGCAACUGUUUACACCUCAUGUGGAUGCUAUUGCAAGCUUGGCGCCUAACGUUGCCAAUUUAACGCUAGGUGCACCUGCGAACACUGCGUUUGCCAUGCCUGGAACCUUAGGACCAUUGGUUGCUGCACCUGGGUCUCCCUCGCGACUUCUCGGUGCCGGGCCGAAUAGCCCCUUCGCCAUAAUGCCGAUGCCGCAACACCCCACUGUUGCAAAUAUGACAGCUCUAGCAAGAAUGCCUCCAAUGCCAGCAAUGGACAAACCACGCCUGCCAGAGCCGAUACAUUUCCCAGAUAUAAUGCACAGUGUUUCAAAAGAAAUCGAAGACGAAGCUAAUGGUUACUUUCAACGAAUUUACAAUCAUCCCCCACAUCCAACUCUGUCUAUAGAUGAAGUGUUAGACAUGCUAAAGAAGUUCCAAGAUUCGCCCAAGACCCGAGAACGAGAAGUUUUCUCGUGCAUGCUACGAAACCUGUUUGAGGAGUACAGAUUCUUCCCUCAAUAUCCCGAUAAGGAACUCCAUAUCACCGCACAGUUGUUUGGUGGGAUAAUAGAGAAAGGUUUAGUUCCCAGCUAUGUGUCUUUAGGGCUGGCCUUGAGAUUUGUGUUGGAUGCUCUCCGCAAACCUGAAGGAUCUAAAAUGUACUAUUUUGGUGUAGCCGCUCUGGAUAGAUUCAAGUCACGUCUGAAGGACUAUCACAAAUACUGCGAGCAUGUUAGGGCCAUUCCACACUUCAAUGAGUUCCCGCCACAUCUUAUAGAAUACAUUGAGUAUGGUCUUCAGAGUCAGGAACCACCCACAAAGCCACAGGGUGCAGUCCUGCCUGCAAGUCUUGCCGCCAUGUUAAACCAGACACCAGUGGUAACAGUUUCAGCACCUUAUAGGAAUGUGGUUUGCGCACCAAAUCCCAUCUCGGUCAUUUCAAAGAUCGCAAACUGUGCCGGGGGCAUAGGCAGCCGGCCCUCCAUUGCUAAUGCCACGAACAUCGAUACACUUCUCACUGCUACUGAUAUAGAUGACAAAAUUGUGGCUCCACCUGAAGCAAUCCAAGACAAGACGGCCUUUAUUUUCAAUAAUCUCAGUCAAUUGAAUCUGCCAACCAAAUGUGAAGAAUUAAAGGAAGUAUUAACAGAAGAAUACCACAAUUGGUUAUCGCAGUAUCUGGUGAUGAAAAGGGCCUCAAUAGAGCUCAAUUUCCAUGCACUCUAUUCCAACUUCCUCGACGUUCUUAAAAUCCGCGAAAUAAAUAAAAUGGUUACAAAAGAGACAUUUCGCAAUAUCAGGGUAUUACUGCGUUCUGACAAAGGCAUAGCUAACUUCUCUGACCGAUCUUUGUUGAAAAACCUUGGUCAUUGGUUAGGCAUGCUCACAUUAGCCCGCAGUCAGCCCAUUCUUUACCUAGAUCUCGACCUCAAAGCACUUUUACUCGAAGCUUAUCACAAAGGCCAGCAGGAGCUACUCUACGUGGUGCCGUUUAUUGCGAAGAUCUUGGAGUCUUGCUCCAAGAGCAUCGUAUUUAAACCCCCAAAUCCAUGGACAAUGUCCCUGAUGAACGUGUUAGCUGAAUUACAUCAAGAGCCCGAUCUAAAACUAAACUUAAAGUUUGAGAUAGAAGUGCUUUGUAAAAACUUGAGCUUAGAUAUAACUGAUUUGAAACCAUCUCUAUAUUUAAAAGACCCCGAAAAGUUAAGAACGAUCGAGUUUCAACUUUCACAACCCAAACCCCCCAAAGAGACUGCGACGACCGUACUACCGGUUCAUCAGGCUAUAAUAGCGCCCCAGCAGCUACAAAUGAUGCCACCUCCUCCGCCAAUGAUCCCCGUCGAGGACUUGGUGGGGACGGCACCGACGCCGACGCUCGUACCCGGCGACCCGGGCCUGAUGGGCGUGCUGGGCCUACCCGAGCCCCGGUUCAACUACCUCGACGUGAACGUCUCUUCCACCUCCGCCUUCGGGCACAAGAUCAUAUUCAACCCGCACAUCAUCCUGUUCCAAAACUAUCCACACUUGAAACAGUUCGUGAAGCCCGCUAUCGAGAGAUCCAUACAAGAGUGGAUACACCCGGUCGUGGACAGGUCGAUCAAGUACGCACUGACGACGUGCGAGCAAAUCAUACGGAAGGACUUCGCGUUCGACCCCGACGAGACGCGGAUGCGCACCUGCGCGCAUCACAUGAUGCGAAAUCUGACUGCUGGCAUGGCCAUGAUCACGUGCCGCGAGCAGAUCCUCAGCACGAUCAGUACAAACUUGAAGGCUGCGUUCAUAACUGCUUUGAUACCGACCGCUCCCCAACAGCUGAACACAUUGCAGAAAGACAUCAUAGAGAGCGCCGCUGCGGUUCUAGCGACGGAAAACAUGGAGCUCGCAUGCGCAUUUAUACAGAAGACGGCUGUGGAGAAGGCACUACCAGAGCUCGAUAAGAGGCUGAUGAACGAUUAUGAAAUGAGGAAAAUUGCCAGACAGGAAGCCCGAAGAUACUACGACCCUAUGGUACUUACUUACCAAACUGAAAGGAUACCGGAGCGAGUGAGGCUGCGCGUCAGCGGCCCGACCGAUAUGCAGAUAACCGUGUAUGAGGAGUUCGCCUGUAACAUCCCAGGUUUCAUGCCAGUGCGCGAUGCCGGCAUGUUCAUCCCUAAACCUACUCAGGAGCAAAUUCCUCAGAUGACUUUUGCGCCAGCUGUGAAUCAGACUCAGGUGUAUGGACACGAUGAGAUGACUACACUUAUGUCCGCCGCAGAGUUGUUCCUGUCAACUGCCGUGCAGUUUCCCGUGUUCGCAGUACAAGCUACAAACAUGCACAAACUGUUUGAUUCCCUCGCAAUGGCCAGACGAAACCGUGACAUCGUGUCUGGCUUUACACUCCUACAGAGGGCUGUGGAGGGCCUCUUGGACGGUCACAUUGUCCCGGCCGGAGGCAGCCCUGAACAUGUAGAACUGAUGACUCGUUACCGAGACAUCCACCUUCGAGUCCUCAAAUUGUUAGAAGACAGCAGGGUGUAUGGCCACGCAUGGACUACUAAACAGAUCACUUACUGUGUGACCGAAUGCAGGGAUGAGCUUAAGUACAAUUUGGAAGCUAUUGAUUGCCUUGUCAGGAAUCAUUUGAUUAACUUGCCACAGUAUGAUAUCGCGCUUGCACAGUUGAUGGACAACGGGAAUAAUUAUGUGGCUGUUUCAUUUGCGAUGCAACUCGUUCAACUUUACCUUGUGGACGAUCGCAAUGAUAUAUAUGCCACAGAGUCCGACCUGUACCAUUGCACUGAUACUCUGGUCAGGCUGACCUCACAGACGAGGCCUCCGCCCGAGGGCCUAGCAACUCUGAUCGAGACAAUCCGGAUCAAUCAGGACCCAAGCAGCUUCUUGGGGGAAAGGUCUCCAUUGGGGCCAACCUCUCACAUCCAUAAUGGCAUUUUACAAGUACGAUCCCGCGAAUACGACGACCCGCACGGUCUCCAAGAGAAAACUGAGAACCUCCUCCGCGAAUGGAGGAACAUCCUUCUCGGCCAGCUCACAGAGAUCGAGCUCGCGCAGAACUUCAACAUAUACGUCCACAGGAUGAAUAUGAACGGCAUCCUCAAGUCGGAUGACAUGAUCACACGGUUCUUCCGCAUCGCCACACAGAUGUGCAUCGAGAAUGUGUACCAGCUCCUCAACGAGGACCGCAUGAAUCCCCCCCCUGUGCCCCCCAAGAGGGAGAAGUACUACACCAUGUGCGAUUCAUUCAUCAAACUUGUGUCCUUGCUCAUAAAGAAUACAGCCGACAAUGGCAACCCGACGCCGAAGCUUAACUUGUUGAAUAAGAUACUGGGUAUCAUAGCAGGUUGUUUGCUUCAAGAUCAAGAAGAGCAUGGAGUUAAUUUCCAACAACUUCCAUACCAUCGUCUGCUUCAAAUAUUGUUCCUUGAUAUGAAUAUGGCAGAGCCAGUCCUGGAGUCUAUGAAUUACCAGAUUUUGACUGCUUUCUGCCACACGCUACGUAUCAUAAGACCUAGCGUCGCACCCAGUUUCUGCUACGCGUGGCUCGAGAUAGUGGCGCAUAGAUCCUUUAUAAACAGGGUUCUUGCUGUAACGCCGCAACAAAAGUCUAUCAUGGAAGUAUUGGGAUGGGGUAUGUAUUCGACGCUCCUGAUCGACCUGUUCAAGUUCCUCGACCCGUUCCUACGUAACACGGAGCUGGCCCAGCCGGUCAUGAUGCUGUACAAGGGCAGUCUCAAGGUGCUGUUGGUGCUUCUGCACGACUUCCCCGAAUUCCUGUGCGACUACCACUACGGUUUCUGCGAUGAGAUACCGCCAAACUGCAUACAGAUGAGGAAUCUCAUCCUGUCUGCCUUCCCGAGGAACAUGAGGCUGCCCGAUCCGUUCACGCCGAAUCUGAAAGUGGAUCUACUGGCUGAGAUAAGCCUGGCGCCUCGAGCCGUCAUCAACUACUCGACGAUCAUACCCUCGUCCCAGUUUAAGAAGGAUCUGGACGCGUACAUAAAGGCUCGCGCGCCGGUCACUUUCCUGUCAGAGCUACGUAGCAACAUGCAGGUGCUCAACGAACCAGGCCGCAGAUACAACAGCCAGCUGAUAAACGCUGUGGUCCUGUACGUGGGGACUCAGGCCAUCGCCCACAUCAGGGCCAAGGGGCAGACACCGAACAUGACGACCAUAGCUCACUCAGCACACAUGGACAUUUUCCAAAACUUCACCGUAGACUUUGACUACGAAGGACGGUAUUUGUUCCUGAAUGCGAUUGCAAACCAAUUGCGUUACCCGAACAGCCACACGCACUACUUCAGCUGUUGCCUGCUGUAUCUGUUUGCGGAGGCGAACUCGGAGGCUGUUCAGGAGCAGAUCACCAGGAUGCUGCUCGAGCGACUGAUCGUGAACCGACCCCACCCGUGGGGACUCCUUAUCACGUUCAUCGAACUCAUCAAAAAUCCCAUCUACAAAUUUUGGACUCACGAAUUUGUACACUGCGCCCCGGAGAUCGAAAAUUACAUUAAUAUCAUUCAAAGUAACUAUGCAUAACAAACAUGCAUAUACGAGUUAAACAAAAUCAAAACAUUUGGGAAGGCACAUAAAAAACUAAUUGUUCGCAUCGGUCGCGCGAUCCUGCAUUGCAGAGAAGGGUGGGGCUGAACGUGAGUUGACCGAGUAGCGAGAAGCCCUGUGGGAGUCUGUUCAGACAGGCUUCCAGGUGGCGCACGCGGAGGCGCCUCCGAAUCCGUCAACGUCGCAGCAGCUGCCCAAACUGCCCCUGCAGUGGAACAAAUUGUUCAAAAAGUAAAUUAAAUGCGAACGAUGCCAACAAAAAAUAUAUGCCAACAUAAAAUACAUAACCAAUUUGCUAAAUUGUGUCCCCCGACGAAACGAACGCUUGACGGUGACACAAAUAAUUCAAUAGUGAUGUACCCAAAGUGCAGUAAAUCUACUGAUCUGUGUGUUUUGGUUUUCUUUUCCGACCGCAUUCAAAACAUCGUUUACGAAAUCAAAUCAAAUCAGCUCGGAAAGCUGUUUUUACGUUUGCUUGUGACUUUAACACAUUUUUAAAAAAUUAGACUGUUUUUUCAAUAACAAUGUUGAUUUGAUUUUUAAAAGUUGUUUUGAUUUUCAAUAUUGUUGAUAUUUUUUUUUAUAAAAGUAAUCGGGUUUGUUUGUAAGUCGAAAGGCAAAGCGACGUUUUAAGAUUAAUUAAUAUGUGUAUCUGUAUCUGUUUUUAGGUCCCAGCGUUUGUUGUGAUCACACUUAAACAUAAUAAUUAUUAAUCUCUAAUCAGCGUUUAAUCGUUUGAUUAAAACGAUGAGUAACUGUAAUGUGCAAUAUAUUGUAAACAUUUUUCAUGUGUUGUACAGAACGAUCCAAAAUAUAUGCCUGAUGAGAAUUAACCGUAUGGUAAAUGUUAACCGUUGUGUUAAUAUCGAUGAGGCUCCCGGAGUAUACUUCUUUUAAAUUUGGAUAUUCUCAGUGAAGUCAUAUGUUUAUUGAGACUUCGCUAUUUGGCAUAAUCUAUACUUUAGAAUUGCCAAAUUGCAGAUUUGCACACUUCAAAAUUUAUAUGUAAUCACUCUUUUAAAAUAUUCAUAUUAUAUAUCUCAGUGUCGUAGUAUAUAAUAAUAAUCGAACGAGUUAAAUGUUUAAAAUAAAAUGUUUCAACAUUAUAAUUGUCUAUAAUAUCAUAUAAUAUUUAAAGUAUUUUAAAAGUUAUCUGUGUCUACAUAAUGGAGUUUUGAAUAAAGUCAAUAGUUGUUAGUUUGAUGGUCUCUUAGAUUUAGUAAUAGUAGUGAUGUGCAAUUGUAAAACAAUAUCCAUAGUAUAGAGAUUUAGUAUUCGACAUUUUGUCAACAACAUUUUCAAUGUAUCCAUAAUAAUAUAACACUUACUAUUUGAUUGCAACGGAACUUCAAAUUUUUUGUGUUUAUAUAUUUUAAAUAAAGGAGAUGUUUGUUUAUUUGGUGAGCCAAAAUGUGAAUUGUAUAUUAAUUUCUAUUGGUGAAACUAUCAGGCAUAUUUUUAUUAUUGAUACUUUUUUCUUAUUUAACGACAUUAUAACGCUCGACUGACUAACAUUGCAGAUACGAGGCGCCCCUACAGUGCGUGCAUGCGUACGAUACAUAGAUGUUUUCACCAUAUAUAUUGUACGGAUUAUUAAUUCCAGUGAGAAAAAUGACAUGUGCAACUGUCACUUAAAUGUCAUAGUCAAAUGACAUUUCAGUGACAGUUGCACUUGUCAUUUUACUGACUGGAAUUAAUCCUCCCGACUAUAAUCAUAGUGUUCAAUAGGCUAGUUGACACUUUUUUUAAUUGUCUAAAAUCAUCAUCGUUUUACUAGAUAAAUAAAAUCUAUUUAAUUUAAUAAAUUAAUGAAAUAAUUAAAAAAUAUUUAUUUAAGACGUGAUUGGAUGAAAAUUUUAACUUUUAAAUAUUUAUUUGACAAUUCGAGCCAAAACGGCCAUGAUGGUCUAUAUUUUAAAUGUUUCAUGACGUAAUCCUUUACCAAACGGUGCGUUUGACAAAAAUUAUAAGUUAACAAUUUUAAAUUUGACGUUAGGUAUAAAUUUAUAAAUUUUAAUAAAUUAAGUUUUAGAAAUUGUUAACUUUUAUUAAUUAUUAUUUAUAUAUUUCGGACCCUUAUUACAUGUAAUUACGAAAUUAAUAUUGUUUAUAUAAAAUUUGAUAUGAGUCAACUACCCUAUUGUAUUCACUAGGUUGUCUGUCAAGAUACACCUUGAUACGAAUAAUAUGUUGAAUAAUCUAUGUACAUGUAUGCAUGCUGUGUAUAAAAAAAUGUUUUUUUUUUCUGUAUGUAGUUGUAUUUAAUAAUUGUUCCUUCUUGUAGUAAGUGGAGGAGGAGAAUUGUAAGUUUCUGUCGUAAUUUAGUAGUUAAGAGAAUACUUAGAAAAUGUAUACUCGACGAGGGGCAAGUGUAAUUUAAAUUGUUUAAGGCUUGAUUGUUACCAGUAGGUAUACUUGUCGAUGAUACAUUGGAAGUAAAGGAAAUGGUCCAUUUCAGAUCCACUGUUGUACCCCGUUUCAUUAAAAUUAAAAAAAUAAAUGGUAUUUGUUAAAAUCUUAAUAAGUGAAUAAAUGUAACUAAAUAAAAAGAAAUAAAUAAAAUAAAAACCCAAGUUUUGGAGUUAAGAUGGCGCCUAUAAAGCAACUAUGACAUGGUAUUUGACAGCAAACGUCAAAACGACUAUUGCGUUGAAAACGUCAUCAAACCGCCAUUGUUAAACAUAUUAGUGUUGCAUUUCUUGGAAGAGAAUGAAUAUUAUUACGAAAGAAUUAAAGUAAAUUCGUAGAUUUAUCUGAUAAUGAGCUCCAUACAAUUUUGGGCCAUCUCCUUUAUGAAUACGUAGAUUUUAGGUAUGUCUGUAAUAAUUGUAAACAGAUAAUAAGUGCUAAGAAAACGGCUAUUUGUGAUUCUUUGGGUUAUUUAAAUAUUGGUUUUAUGAGUUACACAUCUCCGAAACUUACAUGGCAAUUGAAUAUCUCCAUAGUACCAAAUAAACUUUUUAAAUUAAUUUAUUACUUUUUAAUUAGCUGUAUUUGUUUUAGCCUCACUUAUAACCAAAAUCAAAAAAUUCUUCACAUAAUUUUAAAACACCUUGCGGUCUCUGAGACCGCAGGUAGGUUGUUAACGGUUAAACUGUUUAUUUUAGAAAGGAGAAGCAUAUUUUUAGAAUUUACUUAUCAAACUUGAUUAUACCGAAUUUUGUCAACAAAUGUAACUAGAUCAAAUUGUAGCAGUAUAUCAUUUUAUUUACACCAACCAUAUUUUCCUAAAAUGUAUGGUGUGAUGUUUAAUGCUCGUAAUUUAAGUAGUCUAACUACAAUGAAACUAAUAUAUAAAUGCAAGUGUGAAGGUAUGGUUGUGUGAACUUAAAUGAUCAAUUUCAAAUGGGUUUGACGAUUUUGGUUUGAAAAUGUCACGACUAACCGCUGUUUAAAAUUUCAAGAGCUUUCUAACUUGUUUUAAAUUCUUUUGCGAAUCGCCGGUAGUUUGUAAUUGAUGUGUAAUUAAUAAAAUAUUUUUGCAUUAAA